rnacentral:lncRNA from 1 species
UUUCUCAUUCUAUUCAGUAUGUUUGUUUUGUUAUCUGUGAAACUAUUUAUUAAUUUAUUGCAAUUACUGAUUGUGUGUGUUUCCAAUAUAAGAGAUAUAUGUAACAGGAAAACAAAUCCUUGGUAAGAACUAUAUACUUUACUAUACAAGUCAAAUUGGAAUAGCUUGCAUUGGCAUAUUGUGUUGGGUCUAACAAUAUAUUGACUCAGUAAUCUCAUAGUUGGAUCUAUAUUGUAUUCACCCUGUAAGGGCUAGUUUGAUGGUAUGUUUUACAGACUGUUUAGGGUUAGAAGUUAUUAGUAUAGCUCUGUAUAAGUUCAGACCCCUUUAGAUCAAAGUAGAAAUUUCACUGGACAUGACAUACCAUGCUCAACAUAAUGAGUGCCAUAUCAGGAAGCAGGGAAUGUUUAUCCACCAGAGAACAUACAUACAACCCUAUUUUCUAGAGUUCAUGUUGCUUAGUCAGUAAUUUUCUGUGUGAUCGUUUGUGGAUCAUUGUUUGUCCUUUUGGGUGAAUGUUUUAAUUUGGCUUUUAAAUGGCUUUUGUAUUUUCUGCCUCGCUUUAAGUUGUGAUUGUUGUUGCCCUCAUGAUUUUUUUACUUUUAGUUUCUAUAUAUUUGUAAAUUUGUCAGUAAGGAGUAAUUAAUCAUAGUAAAACAUAAGGAGAUGUCUGAUUACCGAUGUUACAACAAUCCAUCCGUGACUAAUGGAGAUGGAUGUAAACAAUAUCAGGUCUUCAACAAUGAGCCCUGACAUCACUAAAUGUAAAACAAUUAUAACAGUAAAUCAACAGCCUGAUUUAUGCUAAAAUAAUGAAUGAAACAAAGAUGAUAGACAGCAAUCAAUAAACAAAUUACAGGCUCCAAACUUUGGACAGGCAUAAACAGAAUUUGGCUUUGUUAUACAUGUUUGUGAGCUUUCAACCUGAAUUUGUACGAUUGAAUAACA